UACGUCGGUGGCGAGCGUUGUCCGGAAUUACGGGGCGUAAAGGGCGUGUAGGCGGCCUUUUAAGUCAGACGUGAAAUCCCUGGGCUUAACCCAGGACCUGCGUUUGAAACUGGAGGGCUUGAGGACCGGAGAGGGUAGUGGAAUUCCCAGUGUAGCGGUGAAAGGCGUAGAUAUUGGGAGGAACACCAGUGGCGAAGGCGACUGCCUGGACGGCACCUGACGCUGAGGCGCGAAUGCUAGGGGAGCAAACGGG
rnacentral:rRNA from 1 species